AUGGUGUGCCCUAGCAAGAUCCAUGUCCCUCCACCUCCAGGAGAGCCCUUCUCUGAUGGAGCUGCCAGGCAAGCAGCACCAGGGAGGGCUAGCGAGCAGGGAGCUCACAGUCUGGGCACCCCUCAGUUUGAUGCAGGAUCCCAAGAGGAAACUGAGUCCCACACUCUGUGGAAGCCUCAGUCUUAUGGCUCAAUUGCCUCCCUUGGCAACCAUGGCAUCUUGCUCAUGAGCCACCUACAGGACAUCAUUCAGCAUACAGACCCUCCAGUGCAGAUCCUGUACCACCACAGCAUAAUGCAGCUGGCCAUCUGUGCCUUCCAAAAAGGCUUGACCCAGGAUGCACACAAGGCCCUGCCAGGCAUGCAGUCGAGUGGCUGGGCCAACCAGCUUCUGCUACUGUGUAGCCUCCAGGAAUGCAACCAGGAGCAGCAGAAGGUGUAAUGGCACCGGGAGGUUCUCUUCCACCUAAACAUCAACCUGGAUCUUCCGGUGUGUAUCUAUCUGGUGUCCACUGUACUCCUGGAGAUCCCCUACAUUGCUUUCCAUGAGAGUAAUGCCCACCAUCACAUGAUCAGCAAGCAGUCCCAUCACUAGCUGUGGGUGGGCGAGUGACAGCUCUUGCUGGGUCCUGUUAGUCUCCCUGAGUCAAUGAGAGAACAUGUGGUCACAGCCUCCAAGGUUACAAAUAAAGGUGACUGGAAGACCUGCCACAGUUUUAUCACCAAGCAGAAGAUGAAUGGGAAAGUGUGGGACCUUUCCUCCGAGGUUGACAAAGUCCACACCAUGCUGGUUAGGAAGAUCUAGGAAGAGUCACUGAGGACCUACCUUUUCACCUAUAGCAGUUCCUAUGACUCCAUCAGCAUGGAGACACUGUUUCACAUUUUGAGCUAGAUCUGCCCCUUGUGCACUCAAUCAUCAGCCAGAUGAUCAUCAAUGAGGAGUUGAUGGCCUCCCUGGACCAGCCAACACAGACAGAGUUGAUGCACCAUACUGAGCCCACUGCCCAGCAGAGCUUGGCUCUGCAGCUGGCUGAGAAACUGGGUGUUUGACCACAAGCAGGGUACCUAUAGCCUUUACCUCCGAGACCAGAAGGAUUGUUACCACAAAAAUGAGGGCUACAUGUGCCGUGCUGGCUGCGGCCAGUAGAAGUCUCACACAGCCUACUGA